GGUGGCCCCGAGGAGACAAGCGUGGCCGCAUUAGCUCUUUCUGCCUCCCACGCAGCCUUAUUUUUUUUAUUGUUGUUUUCUUGUUGCUGUUGUUGUUGUUCUCGGAGACGGAGUCUUGCUCUUGCUCUGUCGUCGCCCACGAUAGAGUACAGUGGCGUGAUCUCUGCUCACUGCAACCUCCGCCUCCUGGGUUCAAACAAUUCUGCCUCAGCCUCCGGAGUAGCUGGGAUUACAGGCGCGCGCCACUAUGCCCGGCUAAUUUUUGUGUUUUUAGUAAAGACGGGGUUUCACCAUGUCGGCCAGGCUGUUCUCGAACUCCUGACCUCGUGAUCCCUCCGUCUCGGCUUCCCAAAGUGCUGGGAUUACGGGCGUGAGCCACCGUGCCCGGCCGCAGCCUUGUUUUGACUGAGUCAGUGGGAGCCAUUACUGUUCCUAAAUGUAAACUGGCGUGACAGGAGUUCCGGGAUUGUCCACAGCACGGACUCUGAUACAACUAUCCAGUCCGCUGCAGGGACCGGUCACUGUGUCACAGGUUCUCCAGAGGGCCAGAACUAACAGGAUAUAUGUAUAUAUUGAAAGGGAGUAUAUUAGGGAGAACUGGCUGACAGGAUCAUCAGGCAAAGUCCCACUAUAGUCCAUCUGCAAGCUGAGGAAGGAAGAAGCCAGUCACGUCUCAAAGUCCAAAAGCCUCAAAAGUAGGGAAGCCAACGGCGCAGCCUUCAGUCUGUGGCGGAAGGCCUAAGAGUCCCCGACAAACCACUGGUGGAAGUUCAAGAGUCCAAAGGCCAAAGAACCUGGAGUCUAAUCUCCAAAGACAGGAAGUAUCCAGCACAGGAGAAAGAUGAAAGCCAGAAGACUCAGCAAGCCAGCCCCUCCCACCUUCUGCGCUGACUGGAUG
rnacentral:lncRNA from 10 species